rnacentral:rRNA from 1 species
CUAGCUUGCUAGAUUGAUGGCGAGUGGCGAACGGGUGAGUAAUACAUCGGAACGUGCCCUGUAGUGGGGGAUAACUAGUCGAAAGAUUAGCUAAUACCGCAUACGACCUGAGGGUGAAAGUGGGGGACCGCAAGGCCUCAUGCUAUAGGAGCGGCCGAUGUCUGAUUAGCUAGUUGGUGGGGUAAAGGCCUACCAAGGCGACGAUCUGUAGCGGGUCUGAGAGGAUGAUCCGCCACACUGGGACUGAGACACGGCCCAGACUCCUACGGGAGGCAGCAGUGGGGAAUAUUGGACAAUGGGCGAAAGCCUGAUCCAGCCAUGCCGCGUGUGUGAAGAAGGCCUUUUGGUUGUAAAGCACUUUAAGCGAGGAGGAGGCUACUGAGAUUAAUACUCUUGGAUAGUGGACGUUACUCGCAGAAUAAGCACCGGCUAACUCUGUGCCAGCAGCCGCGGUAAUACAGAGGGUGCGAGCGUUAAUCGGAUUUACUGGGCGUAAAGCGUGCGUAGGCGGCUUUUUAAGUCGGAUGUGAAAUCCCUGAGCUUAACUUAGGAAUUGCAUUCGAUACUGGGAAGCUAGAGUAUGGGAGAGGAUGGCAGAAUUCCAGGUGUAGCGGUGAAAUGCGUAGAGAUCUGGAGGAAUACCGAUGGCGAAGGCAGCCAUCUGGCCUAAUACUGACGCUGAGGUACGAAAGCAUGGGGAGCAAACAGGAUUAGAUACCCUGGUAGUCCAUGCCGUAAACGAUGUCUACUAGCCGUUGGGGCCUUUGAGGCUUUAGUGGCGCAGCUAACGCGAUAAGUAGACCGCCUGGGGAGUACGGUCGCAAGACUAAAACUCAAAUGAAUUGACGGGGGCCCGCACAAGCGGUGGAGCAUGUGGUUUAAUUCGAUGCAACGCGAAGAACCUUACCUGGUCUUGACAUAGUAAGAACUUUCCAGAGAUGGAUUGGUGCCUUCGGGAACUUACAUACAGGUGCUGCAUGGCUGUCGUCAGCUCGUGUCGUGAGAUGUUGGGUUAGGUCCCGCAACGAGCGCAACCCUUUUCCUUAUUUGCCAGCGGGUUAAGCCGGGAACUUUAAGGAUACUGCCAGUGACAAACUGGAGGAAGGCGGGGACGACGUCAAGUCAUCAUGGCCCUUACGACCGGGGCUACACACGUGCUACAAUGGUCGGUACAAAGGGUUGCUACCUAGCGAUAGGAUGCUAAUCUCAAAAAGCCGAUCGUAGUCCGGAUUGGAGUCUGCAACUCGAC